rnacentral:rRNA from 1 species
UACGAACUGUGCGAACGUUAUUCGGAAUCACUGGGCUUACAGGGUGCGUAGGCGGCCUGUUAAGUAGGGUGUGAAAGCCCCCGGCUCAACCGGGGAAUGGCGCCCUAAACUGGCGGGCUGGAGUGAGAUAGGGGUGUGUGGAACUUCCGGUGGAGCGGUGAAAUGUGUUGAUACCGGAAGGAACGCCGGUGGCGAAAGCGACACACUGGAUCUUGUCUGACGCUGAGGCACGAAAGCCAGGGGAGCGAACGGG